AAAAAGUCUGAAUCUGAAUACCUUCAUGAAUUUAAAGGGAUAGUUCAGUGUGAUGACGGGUCAGCUGAGAACAGAUGAAUGAUAUCAAGGCCACUGGAAUUAGUUUUCUCUGUGAACGCAUGUCCCAACAGCGGAGACACUGAGUAACGGGACAUUGCUCAGUAAAACACACCCAUGACAGCACUUGAUGUAAAUAAGUCUGAAGGACAAUUGUGCAUUACCUGUCGGCUUAAGUUAAAGAAAAAAAAAAUUCAAACUAUAACUUUAAACCCAAUCUUUAUACAUGCUGACCACCACUGUAUUCUGCCAUCUAGCUUACCAGAAACUAUUUUGUUGCGCACUAAGGUCUGUCACCUACCUUCUCACAUUUAGCAACCUGCAAUGUUAGCUUCCAUCUGUACAAUGUGAUUACAUUUAGAGGGAAUAAAUGACAGAAAAAAUACGUAUCACUCAUAUAAUGGCCUUUGUUUUCUGAUAUUCAGUGAAAGUAGCAGGUGUCAACAAAUUAGACAUUAAAAUUACAAAAUGGAGCAAAAGUUAACUUGUCAUGGACCUGCUUGAUACUAAAUAGCAG